rnacentral:pre_miRNA from 1 species
CCUGGCUCUAGCAGCACAGAAAUAUUGGCACCGGGAGGUGAGUCUGCCAAUAUUGGCUGUGCUGCUCCAGGCAGGGUGG